rnacentral:rRNA from 1 species
UGGGGAAUAUUGGACAAUGGGCGAAAGCCUGAUCCAGCCAUGCCGCGUGUGUGAAGAAGGUCUUCGGAUUGUAAAGCACUUUAAGUUGGGAGGAAGGGCAGUAAGCGAAUACCUUGCUGUUUUGACGUUACCGACAGAAUAAGCACGGGCUAACUCUGUGCCAGCAGCUGCGGUAAUACAGAGGGUGCAAGCGUUAAUCGGAAUUACUGGGCGUAAAGCGCGCGUAGGUGGUUCGUUAAGUAGAAGGUGAAAGCCCCGGGCUCAACCUGGGAACUGCGUCCAAAACUGGCGAGCUAGGGUAGGGCAGAGGGUGGUGGGAUUUCCUGGGUAGCGGUGAAAGGCGUAGAUAUAGGGAGGAACACCAGUGGCGAGGGCGACCACCUGGGCUCAUACUGACACUGAGGUGCGAAAGCGUGGGGAGCAAACAGG